GUGCGGACGAAUAAAGUUUAAGGAACCAAACGGCUUGACUACGCAUCAUGCAGUUUGUAAUUUUGCUCAACGUAAUAUUUAGAAAAAAAAUGUAUAAAAUAACAUAAAGAAGUAGAUUUGGCCAUCUUCUAAUGACAUAUAAUUUAAAAGAACCGGCGAAUUAAUGAAAAUAUCAUAAACAAAUUUUUGGUCAGAAGAGCAGUGUAAUGUAGCUUAGAGAUAAGAAUAUCUUUAUAAAGAAAUAUCUAUUAUUGUACUUGUGAGAAAAUAAAUAAAAUUAAUCAGAAGUCAAAA